AGAUUGAACGCUGGCGGCAUGCCUUACACAUGCAAGUCGAACGGCAGCACGGGAGCAAUCCUGGUGGCGAGUGGCGAACGGGUGAGUAAUACAUCGGAACGUGCCCAAUCGUGGGGGAUAACGCAGCGAAAGCUGUGCUAAUACCGCAUAAGAUCUGCGGAUGAAAGCAGGGGAUCGCAAGACCUUGCGCGAAUGGAGCGGCCGAUGGCAGAGUUAGGUAGUUGGUGAGGUAAAGGCUCACCAAGCCUUCGAUCUGUAGCUGGUCUGAGAGGACGACCAGCCACACGUGGGACUGAGACCGACGGCCAGACCUCGUACGGGAGGCAGCGAGGUGGGUAAUUUUGGAACAGUGGGACGAAAGUCCUAGAUCCAAGCCAGUCGCCGCGU
rnacentral:rRNA from 1 species